rnacentral:rRNA from 1 species
CCUACGGGAGGCUGCAGUGGGGAAUAUUGGACAAUGGGCGCAAGCCUGAUCCAGCCAUGCCGCGUGAGUGAUGAAGGCCUUAGGGUUGUAAAGCUCUUUUAUCCGGGCCGAUAAUGACGGUACCGGAGGAAUAAGCCCCGGCUAACUUCGUGCCAGCAGCCGCGGUAAUACGAAGGGGGCUAGCGUUGCUCGGAAUCACUGGGCGUAAAGGGCGCGUAGGCGGCGUUUUAAGUCGGGGGUGAAAGCCUGUGGCUCAACCACAGAAUGGCCUUCGAUACUGGGACGCUUGAGUAUGGUAGAGGUUGGUGGAACUGCGAGUGUAGAGGUGAAAUUCGUAGAUAUUCGCAAGAACACCGGUGGCGAAGGCGGCCAACUGGACCAUUACUGACGCUGAGGCGCGAAAGCGUGGGGAGCAAACAGGAUUAGAGACCCCAGUAGUC